rnacentral:rRNA from 1 species
GGGAGUGAGAAUGUUGGCAUGAGUAGCGAGAUGUGGGUGAGAAUCCCACAGGCCGUAAACCCAAGGUUUCCAGGGGAAGGUUCGUCCGCCCUGGGUUAGUCGGGACCUAAGCUGAGGCCGAAAGGCGUAGGUGAUGGACAACAGGUUGAUAUUCCUGUACUACCGAUAACCGUUUGAGAGAAGGGAUGACACAGUAGGAUAAGCUAAGCACACUGUUGGUUAUGUGUGCCCAAGCAUUGAGGCAGUCAAAGUAGGCAAAUCCGCUUUGAUAAUGCUGGGAUGUGAUGGGGAGCGAAAUUUAGUAGCGAAGUAGCUGAUUUCACACUGUCAAGAAAAGUCUCUAUCGAGGUUAAAGGUACCCGUACCGCAAACCGACACAGGUGGGUGAGGAGAGUAUCCUAAGGCCAGCGAGAGAACUGUUGUUAAGGAACUCGGCAAAAUGACCCCGUAACUUAGGGAUAAGGGGUGCCACCAUCAGGUGGCCGCAGAGAAUAGGCCCAAGCGACUGUUUACCAAAAACAUAGGUUUCUGCUAAGUCGCAAGACGAUGUAUAGGAGCUGACGCCUGCCCGGUGCUGGAAGGUUAAGGGGAUCUGUUAGAGCAAUCGAAGCAGUGAACUUAAGCCCCAGUAAACGGCGGCCGUAACUAUAACGGUCCUAAGGUAGCGAAAUUCCUUGUCGGGUAAGUUCCGACCCGCACGAAAGGCGUAACGAUUUGGGCACUGUCUCAACAACAGACUCGGUGAAAUUGUAAUUCCGGUGAAGAUGCCGGAUACCUGCGACAGGACGGAAAGACCCCAUGGAGCUUUACUGUAGCUUGACAUUGGGUCUUGGUACUACAUGUACAGGAUAGGUGGGAGGCUUUGAAACCAGGACGCCAGUUUUGGCGGAGCCAUCCUUGGGAUACCACCCUUGUAGUACUGGGACUCUAACCAUAGGCCAUGAAUCUGGUCUUGGGACACUGUCAGGUGGGCAGUUUGACUGGGGCGGUCGCCUCCCAAAAGGUAACGGAGGCGCUCAAAGGUUCUCUCAGUACGGUCGGAAAUCGUACGUAGAGUGUAAAGGCAAAAGAGAGCUUG